CAGUGAAAUAUCUGUCUCCUUGUUCUAUCUGUGAUAUAACUGAAGCACCAGCAAUAACAAGGGACUGAAGGCACUGUGAGACAUUUUCGUCAGAGACACAUCUGACUCCCUUCCCCAGCAGUCACAGCUCCCCUUCCCUCUGUUUCCCCUGUGACCCCACCCUGAGCCCCAGCAGUCCUCCGCCCCAGCAUGAAUGACAUCAGUGUGGUCAGAGAGGGCUGGCUCCAUAAGAGGGGAGAGUACAUUUAAGGACGUGGAGGCCGCGGUACUUCAUCCUGAAGAGUGAUGGCUCCUU